GGUCCAGUAGCUCAGCUGGAUAGAGCAACAGCCUUCUAAGCUGUGGGUCAGGGGUUCGAAUCCCUUCUGGAUCA
rnacentral:tRNA from 1 species